GCUAUUAGUCGUCACUCUCGGUUUUUCAACCGAUCUUUUUUCUCUCUUCAUUGUUCUUCUUCUUCAAACCCUAGAUCUACUCUUUCCAUCACUACAAAAUCGAAGAGGCAACAGAAAAUCACCGGUGGCCGGAGUCGACAAACAGAGGCGGUAAAGGACUAGCGGCUAGACACCGACGGAGUUCUGAAAAUUACCGUACGCCGCCCAAUUUCUCACCACACCCGCCGCUCUCCGCCAAAUCACCGCCGCCGCCCUUCACCAGAACCGCCGUCGCGCUACUCCGAAGUGUCAUUCGAACGAUGCAUCCCUUCUCCCUCCGCUGCUUGCCGAGAUCUAUAAUAUUAAUCGAUUUGUUCACCACUGUCGUCACCGCCUCUCUUACUGUCUCUUUCGUUCACCGCCGCAACGGUCGUUGUCAUCGACUUGCCCUCCCUCUGUUUCGUUAUUUUCUAUCUUUAUUUAUGUAUUUUU